UACAGAGGUCUCAAGCGUUGUUCGGAUUCAUUGGGCGUAAAGGGUGCGUAGGUGGCGCUGUAAGUCGGGUGUGAAAUUUCGGAGCUUAACUCCGAAACUGCAUUCGAUACUGCGGUGCUUGAGGACUGGAGAGGAGACUGGAAUUCAUGGUGUAGCAGUGAAAUGCGUAGAGAUCAUGAGGAAGACCAGUGGCGAAGGCGGGUCUCUGGACAGUUCCUGACGCUGAGACGCGAAAGCGUGGGGGAGCAAACAGG
rnacentral:rRNA from 1 species